AGCGAACGCCGGCGGCGUGCCUAACACAUGCAAGUCGAACGUGAAAAGGGAAACCUGAGUAAAGUGGCGUACGGGUGAGUAACGCGUAGGUAAUCUACCCCAGAAUCUGGAAUAACCUGCCGAAAGGCGGGCUAAUACUGGAUAGAGCGAGGGAACUCGUAAGAGAGUUUUUCGGGAAAGGGAGCCCGCAAGGGCCUUCGUUCUGGGAUGAGCCUGCGUCUCAUUAGCUAGUUGGUAAGGUAACGGCUUACCAAGGCGAUGAUGAGUAGCUGGUCUGAGAGGAUGAUCAGCCACACUGGAACUGAAACACGGUCCAGACUCCUACGGGAGGCAGCAGUGGGGAAUCUUGCGCAAUGGACGAAAGUCUGACGCAGCCACGCCGCGUGAGUGAAGAAGGCCUUCGGGUUGUAAAGCUCUGUCGGAUGGGACGAACAUCUUCAUAGUGAAUAGCUAUGAGGACUGACGGUACCAUCAAAGGAAGCACCGGCUAACUCCGUG
rnacentral:rRNA from 1 species